GUCAAAGGCCGGUUAUAGCCUAUCAGACCUAGAGGAGGGGUAUUUAGGCCCAGUUCUCAUCCUGCUCAGUGCCCUGUCAUGGUUUCCCUGUGGUUGUCUGAGAGCGCGUUAUUGAUUCUGGUUAUUUGACUUUGGCAUUGUUUUUGACUUCUCUGUUUUCUGGCAUCCCUGACUCCUGGCUUUUCCUUAUCGUUGUCUCUCUUUCUGUUCCCCUUGACCUCGGCUAUUCCCGACUAUUCUUUGGUACGUUAGUCUGGCCAUUCUAAGGUUACUUAUCAGUCCUCUGUGUUACACAAUUCUACGUGCUGGAUCAUUCUGUAAUCCUGACCUUACGACAUGACCAUAGAUCCUGUAGAAUUGUGUAAGCACAUAGCUGCUUGCGAAAGGAAACUGGAG